UAAUCUGUGAUUUGGGUGCAUUCGUUUAUGCAGUGACUGCCGCAGAAUGCCGCAGAUGUCGUUCGUUUACUCCACCUGCGCAACCGACUGCAGCGCAGUUUGUUGUUCGUUUAAGCAGAGCUGCUGCCUAUCUGCGCAGCCAUCUCGGAGUUCCUGCUCAGGAUGCUUUGCUCGCAGUACUGCGGACUACUGCGUAUGUUAUGAAAGUUCAGAACAAAGAAGGUGGAGAAUAACUCCUCCAAAUAGGUCCUACAAAACUAAAAGUAAUGCAAGUCAUUCCUAGCUAUCAAGCUACUUCGUCCCCAGUUAGUUUGGAAAAAUCUGAGAAGUCUACAUUCAGCAACAUUUCAAUCCUACCGUCAUCACUGUCUGAAAAUGUUAUGUGCACACGUCAUAUGUCAGAACCUUCAACCUAUUUAAAAAUUUUAUUAUAUUUAUUCAAAUAAUAAUUCAUAUUUAUUUAAAAUUUCUUUACUUACGCACUCCAAUUACAAUCUGAGCAGUCAAUUCACGCAGGUGAUCGUUCGAUAAAUGAUGUCACGUGACUCGCAGAUAAUAGACGCAGUGGAUGCGCUAAUCGCUGCAUAAACGAAUGCACCCUUUGUGUCAACGCGCGCUUGCAAUAGUCGGAAGAUGGCGGAAAAACCACGUGACUUCGAGAGCCAAUCAAAAAUGGUUCGGAGUUGGCGCAUCUCUGGGUAUCGAUUCUAUAACUUUUUCUAAAGUGAAAACGUGAAAGUGAAAAUUACGCUGUUAAACCACGUAGCAUCCAUACGGAAACCUUUUGCAUUGAUAAAAAUAAAAAAUUAACAAAAAAUUAAAUCAAUUUGAGCUAAAAACAAUGAUAGAUUUCUUCAAUAUUUUGACAUGAGAACUGAGAACUGUAAAAAAUUUGGAAAAAAACACUAAUAUA